rnacentral:rRNA from 2 species
ACGGUCCUAAGGUAGCGAAAUUCCUUGUCGGGUAAGUUCCGACCUGCACGAAUGGCGUAAUGAUGGCCAGGCUGUCUCCACCCGAGACUCAGUGAAAUUGAACUCGCUGUGAAGAUGCAGUGUACCCGCGGCAAGACGGAAAGACCCCGUGAACCUUUACUAUAGCUUGACACUGAACAUUGAGCCUUGAUGUGUAGGAUAGGUGGGAGGCUUUGAAGUGUGGACGCCAGUCUGCAUGGAGCCGACCUUGAAAUACCACCCUUUAAUGUUUGAUGUUCUAACGUUGGCCCGUUAUCCGGGUUGCGGACAGUGUCUGGUGGGUAGUUUGACUGGGGCGGUCUCCUCCUAAAGAGUAACGGAGGAGCACGAAGGUUGGCUAAUCCUGGUCGGACAUCAGGAGGUUAGUGCAAUGGCAUAAGCCAGCUUGACUGCGAGCGUGACGGCGCGAGCAGGUGCGAAAGCAGGUCAUAGUGAUCCGGUGGUUCUGAAUGGAAGGGCCAUCGCUCAACGGAUAAAAGGUACUCCGGGGAUAACAGGCUGAUACCGCCCAAGAGUUCAUAUCGACGGCGGUGUUUGGCACCUCGAUGUCGGCUCAUCACAUCCUGGGGCUGAAGUAGGUCCCAAGGGUAUGGCUGUUCGCCAUUUAAAGUGGUACGCGAGCUGGGUUUAGAACGUCGUGAGACAGUUCGGUCCCUAUCUGCCGUGGGCGCUGGAGAACUGAGGGGGGCUGCUCCUAGUACGAGAGGACCGGAGUGGACGCAUCACUGGUGUUCGGGUUGUCAUGCCAAUGGCACUGCCCGGUAGCUAAAUGCGGAAGAGAUAAGUGCUGAAAGCAUCUAAGCACGAAACUUGCCCCGAGAUGAGUUCUCCCUGACUCCCUGAGAGUCCUGAAGGAACGUUGAAGACGACGACGUUGAUAGGCCGGGUGUGUAAGCGCAGCGAUGCGUUGAGCUAACCGGUACUAAUGAACCGUGAGGCUUAACCUU